UACGUAGGUGGCAAGCGUUGUCCGGAUUUAUUGGGUUUAAAGGGUGCGUAGGCGGCUUUAUAAGUCAGUGCUGAAAUAUCCCGGCUUAACCGGGAGGGUGGCAUUGAUACUGUAGAGCUUGAGUAAAGUUGAGGUUGGCGGAAUUGACGGUGUAGCGGUGAAAUGCUUAGAUAUCGUCAAGAACACCGAUAGUGAAGACAGCUAACUAAGCUUUAACUGACGCUGAGGCACGAAAGUGUGGGGAUCAAACAGG
rnacentral:rRNA from 1 species